rnacentral:rRNA from 1 species
UGCGGCAAAGCGAUAGCACGUUAAAUACACCAGCUCCCCAUGGAUCACUGGAGUUAAGCACUGUUGCGCGUGGUUAGUAUCCGGAUGGGUGACCAUCUGGACAAUCGCGUCCUGCUGGCU